GGCUCAGGCGCGCUACUGCCUCACAAGUUUUGCCAAGGGACAGCUACUCAAGAUCCCAGAAAUCUGGGAGCGGCUGGAGCGAGAAAACAGAGGCAAGUGGCAGGCAAUUGCCAAGCACCAGCUCCAGCACGUGUUCAGCCCCUCAGAGCAGGACCUGCGGCUGCAGGCGCGAAGGUGGGCUGAGACCUACAGGCUGGACGUGCUAGAGGCAGUGGCUCCAGAGCGGCCCCGCUGUGCUUACUGCAGUGCAGAGGCUUCUAAGCGCUGCUCCCGAUGCCAGAAUGAGUGGUAUUGCUGCAGGGAGUGCCAAGUCAAGCACUGGGAAAAGCAUGGAAAGACUUGUGUCCUGGCAGCCCAGGGUGACAGAGCCAAAUAAGGGCUGCAGUUGCUGAGGGCCAACCACCCAUACCAAGGGAAUCCACCCAGAAUGCACCCCUGAACCUCAAGAUCACGGUCCAGCCUGUGCCGGAGCCCCAGUCUCCGCAGUGGAGAGCAGAGCGGGCGGUAAAGCUGCUGACCCAUCCCCCUCCUCCUCACCCCAAGGGAAGGCUCGAGACUUCCUGCCCCACCCAGUGGGUAGGCCAAGUGCGUUGCUUCAGCAAACCGGGCCAGGAGGGCGAGGUCCGGAUGUGGGGACCCUCUUCCUCUAGCACAGUAAAGCUGGCCUCCAGAAACA
rnacentral:sRNA from 1 species